UACGGAGGGUGCAAGCGUUAUCCGGAUUCACUGGGUUUAAAGGGUGCGUAGGCGGGUAAUUAAGUCAGUGGUGAAAUCCCGGAGCUAAACUUCGGAACUGCCAUUGAUACUAUUUAUCUUGAAUAUUGAGGAGGUAUGCGGAAUAUGUCAUGUAGCGGUGAAAUGCUUAGAUAUGACAUAGAACACCGAUUGCGAAGGCAGCAUACUACGGAAAUAUUGACGCUGAGGCACGAAAGCGUGGGGAUCAAACAGG
rnacentral:rRNA from 1 species